CCUCCCUGGUAAUGGGCAAAGAGACACCUUGUCGGUGGUGUUGUUCUUAUAUCAGUCAGGGACAAAGCAGAUGUUGGUCCUGUCUUCAUCCUAACUUGAUGUCUGGUUUGGUGGCCAAAGCUGUUUUUUUGCCUAGGAUACAUAA
rnacentral:snoRNA from 1 species